rnacentral:rRNA from 1 species
GACGAACGCUGGCGGCGUGCUUAACACAUGCAAGUCGAACGGAAAGGCCCUGCUUUUGUGGGGUGCUCGAGUGGCGAACGGGUGAGUAACACGUGAGUAACCUGCCCUUGACUUUGGGAUAACUUCAGGAAACUGGGGCUAAUACCGGAUAGGAGCUCCUGCUGCAUGGUGGGGGUUGGAAAGUUUCGGCGGUUGGGGAUGGACUCGCGGCUUAUCAGCUUGUUGGUGGGGUAGUGGCUUACCAAGGCUUUGACGGGUAGCCGGCCUGAGAGGGUGACCGGCCACAUUGGGACUGGGAUACGGCCCGGCCUCCUACGGGAGGCAGCAGUGGGGAAUAUUGCACAAUGGGCGGAAGCCUGAUGCAGCAACGCCGCGUGCGGGAUAACGGCCUUCGGGUUGUAAACCGCUUUCGCCUGUGACGAAGCGUGAGUGACGGUAAUGGGUAAAGAAGCACCGGCUAACUACGUG